rnacentral:rRNA from 1 species
CCUGGCUCAGGAUGAACGCUAGCGGCAGGCUUAACACAUGCAAGUCGAGGGGUAGAGGAAGCUUGCUUCCUUGAGACCGGCGCACGGGUGCGUAACGCGUAUACAAUCUACCUUUACAGAGGGAUAGCCCAGAGUAAAUUGGAUUAAUACCUCAUAGUAUUUUCGAAUCGCAUGGUUUGAUUAUUAAAGUUCCAACGGUAAAAGAUGAGUAUGCGUCCCAUUAGCUAGAUGGUAAGGUAACGGCUUACCAUGGCAAUGAUGGGUAGGGGUCCUGAGAGGGAGAUCCCCCACACUGGUACUGAGACACGGACCAGACUCCUACGGGAGGCAGCAGUGAGGAAUAUUGGACAAUGGGCGCAAGCCUGAUCCAGCCAUGCCGCGUGCAGGAAGACGGUCCUAUGGAUUGUAAACUGCUUUUAUACAGGAAGAAACACUCCCUCGUGAGGGAACUUGACGGUACUGUAUGAAUAAGCAUCGGCUAACUCUGUG